rnacentral:rRNA from 1 species
UACGUAGGGUACAAGCGUUGUCCGGAAUUAUUGGGCGUAAAGAGCUCGUAGGUGGUCUGUCACGUCUGCUGUGGAAACGCAAGGCUCAACCUUGCGCGUGCAGUGGGUACGGGCGGACUAGAGUGCAGUAGGGGAGUCUGGAAUUCCUGGUGUAGCGGUGAAAUGCGCAGAUAUCAGGAGGAACACCGGUGGCGAAGGCGGGACUCUGGGCUGUAACUGACGCUGAGGAGCGAAAGCAUGGGGAGC